rnacentral:RNase_P_RNA from 1 species
UGCAAAUUUCGAGCGAUCGCGGUUAGCUUAUGCUAGCUGAGGAAAGUCCACGCACGCACAAGCUGAGAUGCUUGUAGUUUUUGUACUCAGCCCAAUAAGCUGGGGGACUUGUUUUUAGCAAGUUACGGCGGAAAAAGCACUAAAUCAUUUUUUGACAUGUGUGACUAUCCUGAAAAGUGCCACAGUGACGAAGCAGCAAGGGAAACUUUGCUGGUGGAACGAGGUAAACCCUGCAAGCGGGCAACCCAAAUUUGGUAGGGGCGCUUUCGUCUAAGUAAAUGAACUAAAGACGAAGUCAUUUUUAAUGAAGAUAGAUGGUCGCUGAAGAUAAGAUUCAACCAAAUCUUAUUGGAACAGAACGUGGCUUAUAGAGAUUUGUAGGUU